UCAACGUUUAAGUGUCUCUUCACUUGCCUAGUCCGAGUGCAGCGUACUGUUCUUCCGUCACUUCGGUCAUCAUCAGAUUUCCGUCAGUGUUAUAUUUUGGCCCAAUUGCUGAAGGAAAAAUACUAAAUUAUUUGCAGAAGGAGGACGGAAUUCCUAAUGUCCCCGUUAUUAAUUUCAAAUAUACCGCUUUUCUUCGAUGAAUUUACCCGUGUUCCGGCAUCGAAUUGAGUAUAGAAAAGGAAAAAAUGUAGAAUAAAGAAUUGCUUGUAUACACCGGACACCGUUUGAAAAUCAUACGUACGACGUACGAAUAUUUUCAAAUGAAUCACUUGUAUUCUUCAAGAAAAUUUCUUAAACACAGGUUUAUGUUAUUACAGGCCUAAAGGUAUAAGGAAACGUUUGCAUUAGUGACCGUGUUCAUAAUAUUGGUACGUUAUUUUUAAUGCUGUAUUUUAAACAUUAAAAAUGGCUGAUGAAGAAGAAGAGAAAGAGUACAGAUGGGAGACUGGUUAUGAAAAGACAUGGGAAGCAAUUAAAGAAGAUGAUCAUGGAUUGUUGGAAGCAUCUGUUGCAGAUAUUAUUCACAAUGCUAAAAGAAAACGUCAGAUGAAUAGAAAGAUUGGUGCCAGAUUAGGAAUGAUGAGACAUCUUUAUAUAAUUCUGGAUGCUUCUGAAUCUAUGUCAAUUCAAGAUUUUAAACCAACACGUUUUUUAUGUUCCUUGAAGCUCUUAGAAGAUUUUGUUGAAGAAUUUUUUUAUCAAAAUCCUAUAAGUCAGUUGGGGGUAAUUAUUACAAGAAACAAAAGAGCAGAAAAAGUGAGCGAAUUAGUUGGAAAUUCUAAAAAGCAUAUUAAGGAAAUACAAAACAUGCAACAGAUGGUACCAGCAGGGGAACCUUCAUUACAGAAUUCCCUGGAACUAGCUUUAAAAUCUUUACGUCUUCUACCUUCACAUGCUAGUAAAGAGAUUCUUAUAAUCAUAGGAGCUCUAACAACUUGUGAUCCAGGAGAUAUUAAUGAAACUAUACAAGGUAUGAAAUCAGAUUGUAUAAGAUGCAGUGUGAUAGGAUUGGCUGCUGAAUUGUAUAUCUGUAAAAGGAUGGCAACAGCAACUGGUGGAGAACAUGGUGUAGCAUUGGACGACAAACAUUACAAGGAACAACUAAAUAUGCAUAUAGAUCCACCACCAGCUGCAACUAGACUGGAUGCUGCUCUUGUAAAAAUGGGUUUUCCACAUCAUGCAUUACAUUCCUCUGUGAAUGAUUCUGCUAUGGCAGUCUGCAUGUGUCAUGCAGAAAACUCUGAAGAAUCUGUUAAACUUAUUAGCACAGGAUAUCUAUGUCCUCAGUGUCUCAGUAAACAUUGUGAACUUCCUGUAGAGUGUAGAGCAUGUGGACUAACGUUAGUAUCAGCACCGCAUUUAGCUCGAUCCUAUCAUUAUUUGUUUCCUGUCGAGCCGUUUACUGAAACUGUAUUUGAUGGAACUCCUUCACUCUGUUAUGGCUGCCAAAAAAAUUUUUCACAAAUGGACAAAAAGAUAUACAUUUGCAAUAAAUGUAGUCAGGCGUUUUGCCUGGAUUGCGAGAUAUUCAUUCACGAAUCUUUACAUACGUGUCCAGGUUGUGCGACGAAUCCAGAUACAUAUCAAAGAUCAAUGGAUAGAUCUUAAUUUAUUAAAUAUUUUACGUUUCGAUGAUAAUAGUAUCGAACAGAAGUUCACAUAAGUUUGAAGCAAAAGGAAAACAAAAGAACAGGAUUUGUCUGUUUACAUCCGAAUGAUACACAGACUUCUUUCCUCUAGGCAAGGAACCCGGGAGAAGUUUUUCGAGCGGUUAACGCAGGCCGCUUUAAAGUUAUGGUGGGAGGUGAUUGAAGUUUAUUAGCUAGCGGACAGGUGGAAGCGAGCAUCGUGAUAUUAGAGCACAUUAUUAGUUUGCGAUCGUCCUCCGACGCGACCGGUUCCACGGUGUCGACCUACUUCCGAUUUAAUUACGUAUGUCCAUCCUGCCCGAACAAAGUGACUUUGUACGUGAGACAUUUUCCACACACCUGGUUUCCUUUCUAAUACACAUCUUCGAGAUCAGUGACCUGAAAUCAUGUACAUCUGGAAUAACUAUUAUCUACUUUUACAAGUUUCAAUUUUCGACGUUUGAAGUUGUGUUUAAGUACUACUUUAUCUUUUUCUAUUUCGCUUUUAAAUUUAACGCGACAAGGAUGUUUAGUAAUGUCACAUACAUGCACGCGCGUGCAUGUGUGCCGUACGUUUUACAUAUCUAGUAAGUGUGACGAUUGUUAGUAAAGAAUGAAAUACAAGGUUUAUUACCUAGGCUUCCUAUGUUAUUACAAAAUGAAAAUAAAUCAUUUCAUGGACAAUUAAUGUGCAAGAAUAAUAUUGUAUUUUAAAUAUUUUCAAAUGAAGUUAUUACAAGAUUCUGGUAGAGUGUGCACAGUGCAAGAACAAAAAAAGAAUUUUUUAAUUUGUUUACGUAUUAAAUUUUCAUUGGUACCGACUUCGGUAAAAUAGUUUUAAUUUAUCUUUUAUAUCAAAGUUGCAAUCGACAAUACUAAUUGUGAUAAAGUGUUUGCUAACUAACGAGACAUUUAAAUCGAAGAUAGUAUCGGUUAUUAAAAAAACAAGCCACUUGUUACUGUUUAUUAUCACAUUUCGCAUGUCACCUUGUAUUCAAUUACUCGAUUUCAUUUAUCAUAAGUAAUUUAUUAUAUUGCUUUAAUUAAUUGAUACGCAUUAAAACAUACAUUCGAUGUUGACAUCAAUUUAUCAGCGUAAUUGGUAUCGUGAAACGAUUACCUUACGUUAAAUAACAUAUCAUUAAUGAACGUGUCUCAUAAAUUUCAGUAGCAAACAAUUUAAAAAAAUAUGUUCUCAUAUAUUAUAAGUAUAAUCAGUAACAUAAAUUGAUAAAACCUUCUGUCUAACAUGAUGGACAUUUUAUCCAGGAAGUUACAAUUUUUUCCUGUAUUAUGACUUUAUUUCUUAAUCCAAACUUUUCUAGAGACAUGAUAAAGCAAAUCUUACACUCCUAACUAUAUCAUCUUGAUUAGAAUUAUUUUAUCAGUCGAAUCAAAUUAACUUUUUAUGUAGAAGAAAGUAUGCUUAGCUUUGCAAUAGGUACUUGUUUAGAAAAAAGCAAUACAAAGUGAGAUCCUAAGAUUAUUUGUAACAUAGCGUCCAAGGUGUAUAAAUCAAAUGAUAGUGUAGCUGCUAUAAAUCAAUCAGUAUUGUUCAAGAAAGUCAAACUCAUCCACUUGCAAUUAUAUUUUAAAUUUGAAGUAUCAUAUCAGUAUCAAAUGGAAAAAUGUAAUCAGAGAAGACAAGGAAGAUAAUUAUAACAAUUAUAAUAAAAUAUACUGUUGAUUUAUAUAUUUGAAAAGAUAAAAGACUUGCAUCGUGAUACAAUGAAUAGUUAAUGAAUUACCAAAUGUUACUUAAUUUUUAUCGCAUUCUUCAUAAAUAUUAAUAUAAAUACUUGUAAGUUACUACAUCAAUUUGUAUAUAAAUUCAAAGUUCAAGCGUGACGCUCAUCAAGUAGCUCAGUGAUUUUCUUUUUCCAUUUUAAUUGUGCCACACGAAGACCAAAUGAAUUCCUUUCUCUUUCGUUAGCGCUUUCAAUUCGCGCAGCAAUAACUGGUUAGCCCGUAACAUUUGAUACUUCGUCUAAGUAUAGGCAUCUCAAAAAAAAAAACAACAUUUUUCUAGGAAAUUAGUCUUGCGAAAUGUAUCACGCUACUUUUCCUCGCAGCAAUGUAACAUGAUUGUCCGUCCGUUCGCAGAAAAACUAGAUCCCCCUCGUUUAUUAUGACACCAGCUUGUCCAGCCGUGAAUUACGAUCGUUUGUCAUGUUUACCAUUUACAUCUUGUACCUCUAUUUUCAUGCCUCGUUUUUGUUAUAUCUCCUUCUACGACCGUCACGAAAGUGAAAAUAUUCUUGUUCCGGCUUUUAAACACGAAUGUUGUCAGACUCGUUAUGUUUCAAGGAUCGACGAAUACAUGUAUAGCUGUUACCACGAAGGACAAAAUUGUUGUUCGUAUUGUUGAUCCAUUUAUACCGAUCGAUCUAUUAAUGCGCACCUGUUAACUCUUUCUAUUGUUACUUAAAUACUAGGAUUUUGUUACGUGAUUGUUUGGGAACUAUGUGGGUACCGUUAUGUUUACGUAGGAUGAGGAAAUCGCGGUAACGUGGUGAUAUAGCAAUAUAUGGCGCGUCGAAGCGAUAAGGAAUACAGUAUUCGGCGAUAUAGCGCGAGGUAAAUACAACGCGUGGAAUCUGUCUAAGGAACGCAAGAUUAUGAAGGUGCAACGCACGCGAAGGUCCACGAGAAAUACAGCUUAUGCUAACACCACUCGGAGCGUUGUAAUGUGCGGCGAUAUAGCGCGAUACCAUGACUACAGCACUACACUAUAACACAGCAAUAUGACUCACAAAAGGACUUAAUAUCUAAUACAUAUAGAUACAUUAAAACUUGUCAAAAAUGCAAAUUAAUCUAGAUCUAAUAUCAAUUCUCGUUAACUUUGAUUUUCGUAUAAUUUCCGUUCCAGCUCUAAUCAGAGAUCCUUCGUCUUCGAAAUGACGUAUCGAUAUUAUCAGUUUUUAGCAUAUCAAGCUGCUUUCACGAGGCAAGAUACGUAUCUUUAAAUCCCGAACCCGUUAAUUCGAACUUUCCUUUGACCUCUCUCUCUGACGCGAAUCUCUCGUCAAAAUUCACAACGUCUCUGUCUUUAUCUCUUCGGGACAAGAUACGCCGAGUAUUCGAGCGUUUCUAUUGACUCGUUCUACUUUACGCUCCGGAGCGGCUCAGAUUAUCAUUUUAUCCAAGCGGCCUCUUAGGGACGAACUCGAUCAAUCACUAUUACCUAAGAUAUCUGUGUCAUUCCGGAGGAAAUAAACUGUUUGUUAAAAAGAAAUUACGGAAUAAAGGAACCACCUUGAAACUCGACGUCUGGAUAAAAAUGAGCGAAAUUAUUAAGUAGCUGUCAGAGAGAAGUGGCAUCAAUUUCGGGGAUCGGUGAAAUCCGCAAUUGGCCCACGUACGAAUCGUAAAUAAAGAUAACGAUUAUAUUGAGGUGUCGAGGGGAUCAUGCAAUGGGGACACAGUACCACGGUGCCUCGCCUUAAUUGGCCUGUAACCUUGUCACGUUGUCCGACACCAGCGAUACGCGUUGUUUGGCUCCCCUUUGCUCCAAUGUCACACUACAUCCGAAAAUUCUAACCGAUUCGUACAAUCGAGAGCGAAACACGCCGUAAUGAUGAUCAGCUGAAGAGAUAGCUUCAGGCUUUCGAUAAUGCUGUAAUAUUGACGAUGUUCUAUUAUGACAAAAAUCUUGAAAUGUUAACAACUGAUUGUUUGAAGUUUUCGUUACUGUUCGACUACUCUUCACUUUUUUAGAAAACAACUUGUCCGAUUAAUAUCUUUUCUCUGUUAUAACGAUAUUUAUUUCAAAUGUAUUAUACGGUACCAUUGUCUCAGUAGUAUAUCCUGAUAUAUAAUUUAUUCUUCAGAUCUCAGGCUUCACGCAGUAGCAAGUAAAUGAUUGGAGCCGGAAUUUGCUUAUGGAUGUUGAGGAAAAUAACUUUGGAAAAGGCGAUUUCACUUUCUUCCGGCUAUUUGCAGUGUUGAUGAAAUUUCUCGUUACGAAGAUCUGCGAUGAAGAACUCUCCACUUACUUUUUUGUUUUGACAAUUGUUUCUCGAUAUUAGUCGCUUUUUAUAAUGUCAUUGGUGGAACUACGUAGAAUAGUUUAUAUACCAUUUGGUAGUUCAUAUACUAUGCAUGACAAUACGUUGUAAUACCACACAUGAUAGUACCAUGUAUGCUAAUGUGAAGCGUGGUAAUAUCACGCGUGGGGAUACCACUUGUAACACUGUGCAUAGCAAUACAAUAACGCUAUACUUCAAGUUAUACUACUAAUUAAUAAUUCAAGUUAUACUACUUAUGACAACGUGGUAAUUUACAUAUUAAUGUGUCGUAACGCAAUAAGUAGAGCAACGCGUGGUAGUCUGUCGCGUGGUAAUAUCAAGAGCGUGUUGAUGCAACAG